rnacentral:snoRNA from 1 species
AUGAUGAAGACGGGAUAUGACGAUGAGUGAAGAGGAGAACCCAGCUGA